UACGGAGGGGGCGAGCGUUGUUCGGAUUCAUUGGGCGUAAAGGGUGCGUAGGUGGCAUGGUAAGUCGGAUGUGAAAUCCCGGGGCUCAACCCCGGAACUGCAUUCGAUACUGCUGAGCUAGAGUACUGGAGAGGAGAUUGGAAUUUACGGUGUAGCAGUGAAAUGCGGUAGAUAUCGUAAGGGAAGACCAGUGGCGAAGGCGGAUCGUCUGGACAGUUACUGACAC
rnacentral:rRNA from 1 species